CAAUCGAACCCGGAGAUAGCUGGUUCUCCUCGAAAUAGCUUUAGGGCUAGCCUCGCAUUAGUUUACCGGAGGUAGAGCACUGAAUGGUCUAGGGGGCCUCACCGCCUACCGAAACCUAUCAAACUGCGAAUGCCGGAUAAAUGAUGUGCGGGAGUCAGGCCGCGAGAGAUAAGUUCCGCGGUCAAAAGGGGAACACCCCAGAUCGUCUGCUAAGGUCCCCAAGUACGCGUUAAGUGGGAAAGGAUGUUGGAUUGCACAGACAACCAGGAUGUUGGCUUAGAAGCAGCCACACAUUCAAAGAGUGCGUAAUAGCUCACUGGUCGAGUGAUGAUGCGCGGAAGAUUACCGGGGCUAAAACCUGACACCGAAGUUCGGGGAUAUGCGAAUGCAUAUCGGUAGAGGAGCAAUGUAUGAAAGGCAGAAGCCGUAUCGGAAGGUACGGUGGACGAGAUACAAGAGAGAAUGCCGGCAUAAGUAGCGAGAGAGAGGCGAGAAACCUCUCCGUCGAGAGUCUGAGGUUUCCUGGGGAAGGUUCGUCCGCCCAGGGUAAGUCGGGGCCUAAGUCGAGGUCGAAAGGCGUAGAUGAUGGACAACCGGUACAAAUUCCGGUACUACCGAAAUUCGAAUAAAUGACGCAGUGACACAGGAAGAUAGUCGAACCGAGCGGAUGGAAAAGCUCGGCCAAGGCGAGGAGCGGGCAUAGAGUGAAGUACCUAUGUAGGACGCUAAGCGCCGAUGGGGACGUGAAGAACAGUAAAUAAGUCGACGAAUCUACACUGGCGAGAAAAACUGCUAAAUAAGGAUGGAGGUACCCGUACCGCAAACCGACACAGGUAGACGAGAAGAAAAUUCAAAGACGAACGGGAGAACCCUUGUUAAGGAACUCGGCAAAAUGACCCCGUAACUUCGGGAGAAGGGGUGCCUCGAAAGAGGCCGCAGAGAAUAGUCACAAGCGACUGUUUAGCAAAAACACAGGUAUCUGCGAAAGCGAGAGCUGACGUAUAGGUGCUGACGCCUGCCCGGUGCUGGAAGGUUAAGGGGAAGUGUUAGGGGAAACCCGAAGCAGAGAACCGAAGCCCCAGUAAACGGCGGCCGUAACUAUAACGGUCCUAAGGUAGCGAAAUUCCUUGUCGGGUAAGUUCCGACCCGCACGAAAGGCGUAAUGAUUUGGACGCUGUCUCAACAGGGGGCCCGGCGAAAUUGUAGUAUACGUGAAGAUGCGUAUUAACCCGCGACUGGACGGAAAGACCCCGUAGAGCUUUACUGUAACUUGAUAUUGGAACACGACAACGAAUGCACAGGAUAGGUGGGAGACUAAGAAGUAAGUGCUUAGGCAUUUACGGAGUCGAUGUUGGGAUACCACCCUUUCAUUGUUGGGUUUCUAACGGACAGCCGUGAACCGGUGUACGGACAGUGUCAGGUGGGCAGUUUGACUGGGGCGGUCGCCUCCUAAAGAGUAACGGAGGCGCCCAAAGGUUCCCUCAGGAUGGUUGGAAAUCAUCCAAAGAGUGUAAAGGCAGAAGGGAGCUUAACUGUGAGACUGACAAGUCGAACAGAUACGAAAGUAGGACUUAGUGAUCCGGCGGUAGAGAAUGGAAUUGCCGUCGCUUAACGGAUAAAAGUUACCUCGGGGAUAACAGGCUGAUCUCCCCCAAGAGUUCACAUCGACGGGGAGGUUUGGCACCUCGAUGUCGGCUCA
rnacentral:rRNA from 1 species